rnacentral:rRNA from 1 species
UUAAAUUGAAGAGUUUGAUCAUGGCUCAGAUUGAACGCUGGCGGCAGGCCUAACACAUGCAAGUCGAACGGUAACAGGAAACAGCUUGCUGUUUCGCUGACGAGUGGCGGACGGGUGAGUAAUGUCUGGGAAACUGCCUGAUGGAGGGGGAUAACUACUGGAAACGGUAGCUAAUACCGCAUAACGUCGCAAGACCAAAGAGGGGGACCUUCGGGCCUCUUGCCAUCGGAUGUGCCCAGAUGGGAUUAGCUAGUAGGUGGGGUAAC